rnacentral:rRNA from 1 species
GAUGAACGCUGGCGGCGUGCCUAAUACAUGCAAGUCGAGCGAACAGAUGAGGAGCUUGCUCCUCUGACGUUAGCGGCGGACGGGUGAGUAACACGUGGAUAACCUACCUAUAAGACUGGGAUAACUUCGGGAAACCGGAGCUAAUACCGGAUAAUAUAUUGAACCGCAUGGUUCAAUAGUGAAAGACGGUUUUGCUGUCACUUAUAGAUGGAUCCGCGCCGCAUUAGCUAGUUGGUAAGGUAACGGCUUACCAAGGCAACGAUGCGUAGCCGACCUGAGAGGGUGAUCGGCCACACAGGAACUGAGAACCGGCCCAGACCCCUAGGGGGGGCAGCAGUAGGGAAUCUUCCGAAAUGGGCGAAAGCCUGACGGAGCAACGCCGGGUGAGUGAUGAAGGUCUUCGGAUCGUAAAACCCUGUUAUUGGGGAAGAAAAAAUGUGUAAGUAACUAUGCACGUCUUGACGGUACCAAAUAAAAAAGCCACGGCUAACUACGU